rnacentral:rRNA from 1 species
GAUGAACGCUGGCGGCGUGCCUAAUACAUGCAAGUCGAGCGGUAAGGCCCUUCGGGGUACACGAGCGGCGGACGGCUGAGUAACACGUAGGAACGUACCCCAAACUGAGGGAUAAGCACCAGAAAUGGUGUCUAAUACCGCAUGUGGCCCACGGGCUAAAGCUCCGGCGGUUUGGGAACGGCCUGCGUCCGAUUAGCUAGUUGGUAGUGUAAUAGACUACCAAGGCGACGAUCGGUAGCUGGUCUGAGAGGAUGAUCAGCCAGACUGGGACUGAGACACGGCCCAGACUCCUACGGGAGGCAGCAGUAGGGAAUCUUCCACAAUGGGGGCAACCCUGAUGGAGCAACGCCGCGUGCAGGAUGAAGGCCUUCGGGUUGUAAACUGCUUUUAUCUGUGACGAUUAUGACGGUAGCAGAUGAAUAAGGACCUGCUAACUACAUGCCAGCCGCCGCGGUAA